rnacentral:rRNA from 1 species
UACGUAGGGGGCGAGCGUUGUCCGGAAUCACUGGGCGUAAAGGGCGCGUAGGCGGCCCUUCUUGUCGCGUGUGAAAGCCCCGGGCUCAACCUGGGAAUGGCGCGCGAGACGGGGGGGCUGGAGUUCGGGAGAGGAGCGUGGAAUUCCCAGUGUAGAGGUGAAAUUCGUAGAUAUUGGGAAGAACACCGGUGGCGAAGGCGGCGCUCUGGACCGAGACUGACGCUGAGGCGCGAAAGCGUGGGGAGCAAACAGG